CAUCCCUGCUCCCUUCCCUGCCCAGCACAGGGAGCCUGGGGCCAAUCAGCUCUUCCAGACGAUCAAAUGUCACCAUAAGUUGAGAGCUGCAUCACCUUGGGACGCUCGCAGAUCCCAGCCUGCCCGUCCCCUCUGACAGGAGCUUGGUGCUUCUCUCCACUCCUUCUAGAAACUAAUUGCCAACAUGUCUGAUACCGAGGAAGUGGAACAAGGAGAGGAGGAGUACGAAGAAGAAGAAGAGGCUCAGGAAGAAGUCCAUGAACCAGGUAUGUGACUUCUGAAUUCCUCUGCGUCAAUCUGAAGGGUUAUUGUGUGCUGGAAAUUGAAUUCCACUUGGCAGUUUCACAACUGGGUCAUGUGCUGAAUUGGGACAAAAUGGAAUCUUUUCAACUAACCAA
rnacentral:lncRNA from 1 species